rnacentral:rRNA from 1 species
UACGAAGGGGGCUAGCGUUGUUCGGAAUUACUGGGCGUAAAGCGCACGUAGGCGGCUUUGUAAGUUAGAGGUGAAAGCCCAGGGCUUAACCCUGGAAUUGCCUUUAAGACUGCAUCGCUAGAAUCGUGGAGAGGUGAGUGGAAUUCCGAGUGUAGAGGUGAAAUUCGUAGAUAUUCGGAAGAACACCAGUGGCGAAGGCGACUCACUGGACACGUAUUGACGCUGAGGUGCGAAAGCGUGGGGAGCAACAGGG